UACGGAGGGUGCAAGCAUUAAUCGGAUUUAUUGGGCGUAAAGGGCGCGUAGGCGGUUUAGAAAGUCAGAUGUGAAAUCCUGGGGCUCAACCCCAGAACUGCAUUUGAAACUUCUAAUCUAGAGGGUAGGCGGAGAAAACGGAAUUCCACAAGUAGCGGUGAAAUGCGUAGAUAUGUGGAAGAACACCGGUGGCGAAGGCGGUUUUCUAGCUUAUACCUGACGCUGAGGCGCGAAAGCAAGGGGAUCAAACAGG
rnacentral:rRNA from 1 species